rnacentral:rRNA from 1 species
GAUGAACGCUGGCGGCGUGCCUAAUACAUGCAAGUCGAGCGAACAGACGAGGAGCUUGCUCCUCUGACGUUAUCGGCGGACGGGUGAGUAACACGUGGAUAACCUACCUAUAAGACUGUGAUAACUUCGGGAAACCGGAGCUAAUACCGGAUAAUAUAUUGAACCGCAUGGUUCAAUAGUUAAAGACGGUUUUUCUUUCACUUAUAGAUUGAUCCGCGCCGCAUUAGCUAGUUGGUAAGGUAGCUGCUUACCAAGGCAACGAUGGGUAACCGACCUGAGAGGGGGAGCGGCAACACUGGAACUGAAACACGGUCCAGACCCCUACGGGAGGCAGCAGUAGGGAAUCUUCCGCAAUGGGAGAAAGCCUGACGGAGCAACGACGCGUGAGUGAUGAAGGUCUUCGGAUCGUAAAACUCUGUUAUUAGGGAAGAACAAAUGUGUAAGUAACUAUGCACGUCUUGACGGUACCUAAUCAGAAAGCCACGGCUAACUACGUG